rnacentral:rRNA from 1 species
ACUCAAAUGAAUUGACGGGGACUUGCACAAGCAGUGGAUUAUGUGGUUUAAUUCGACGCCAAACGAAGAACCUCACCCGGGUUAGAAAUUCUAGCGAAGACAUUGGGAAACCAGUGUCGUCUCACAAGGACGGUAGAACAGGUGAUGCAUGGCCGUCGUCAGUUCGUGGUUUGAACUGUUCCCUUCAGUGGGGUAACGAACGCAACCCUCGUUGGCUGUUACAAGUGUCAGCCGAGACUGCCCCCGUUUUUGUUUCUAAAAAAUUAUUGAAAAAUUAUUUUGGGAAUAAAAACGGGGGAGGAAGGCGAGGAUGACGCCAGGUCAGCAUGUCCCUUUGAUAUCCGGGGCUACACACAUAAUACAAUCGCCGCUACAACAGGACGCAAUAGGGUAACCUGGAGCAAAUCCUUAGAAAAGCGGCGCCAGUUCGGAUUGAGGUCUGCAACUCGACCUCAUGAAGCCGGAAUUGCUAGUAAUCGCGGGUCAGCUAUACCGCGGUGAAUACGUUCUCAAGUCUUGUACACACCGCCCGU